GCUACUUAUCUAUCCGCAAGAUGGCGCUGUCAUACGCAAAAAUCAUAACUAGAUCUCAUAAUUUUCUCCUACACUGUGAUGGCAAGAUGAACAAUACUAUUGAUAAUGGUUUCAUCCAUGCGCAACACUGCAGAAUCACAUAAAACAGAACACACGUUUUUUAUUUAGUGUAGUCUAGUUGGCAUAUUCAUAAAUUGGAUUAUACUUAAUUUUUAAGUGCUAACAUCCACAAACAAUAGCCCAAUAUUUGCACGUAGCUAUCUAUGUAGUCUAUGUACUUAUUGGUUUAGAUUGUUGUUUGCUGUAUGUGUGUUCUGUUAUUUUUUUAAUGUUAACACGCAAUAUUGGCACUGACGGACAGAGUAUGCAAAUCAGCUGUUUUUGUGACACAAUUUUCUAUGGCGGUAAUGAUAUGGUGUUCCCAGUAACUUAAAAUUAAUUAUAUGGUACUCGACUAAGAGUGAGGCUGUGCCAUUGAAUCGUCGCAGUAUUCACCGAACCGCCACCUGCAUGGACUUCCACUGAAUGAAAGACUCAAAUUAAGUCUUCGAAUAAGAAGACCACGGCACAGCGAUUUUAUCAGCAUUUCUAAAAUUGGGAGACUGACCGGACUUGAAGAGAGGAGAGAUACCAGUAUGCCAGUUCCCUCUCCCACUGCUGCAAGUGUCGUCAGCACCAGUCCAGCGUGGGUGUCACCAGAGAAACAGACAGGCCAAGCAGCUGGAGGAGAGACACAACAACCACUCGUCCCGCUGGCCUGUGAUUCGUGGGAACGGGCUGGGCCAAAAUGAUGGGAUAUUGUAAGCUGGCCCUUUUUAACUAACACACACAGACUGUGGGAUGGAACUGCACUUGGCUUGGGAUUGAACUGCUGUCCUGGCUACCCGUGUGACGUGUGUCUGCUCUUCCAAAUUAAACUGAAACAACGGA